AUUGAACGCUGGCGGCGUGCUUAACACAUGCAAGUCGAUCGGUAACGCGGGGGCAACCCUGGCGACGAGAGGCGGACGGGUGAGGAACGCUUGGGAAUCUGCCUAUCAGCGGGGGACAACACGGGGAAACUCGUGCUAAUACCGCAUACGCUCUACGGAGGAAAGCCGGGGACCACAAGGCCUGGCACUGAUAGAUGAGCCCAAGCCGGAUUAGCUAGUUGGCGGGGUAACGGCCCACCAAGGCGACGAUCCGUAGCUGGUCUGAGAGGACGAUCAGCCACACUGGGACUGAGACACGGCCCAGACUCCUACGGGAGGCAGCAGUGGGGAAUAUUGGACAAUGGGGGAAACCCUGAUCCAGCGACGCCGCGUGGGUGAAGAAGGCCUGCGGGUUGUAAAGCCCUUUCGGUAGGGACGAAAGCUCUCGACCUAACACGUCGGGAGGUUGACUUAACCUACAAAAGAAGCACCGGCUAACUCUGUGCCAGCCGCCGCUGUAAAAC
rnacentral:rRNA from 1 species